CGGUAUUAUUAUUCAAUUAGCGUGACAAAUAUGGUUCAUGCAUAAUGCAGCGCAAUGAAAAGUGUCGGUUGGCCAAGAAACAAGAAAUGCAGCCGAAGGCAUGCAAGCUGGCGGUGAAAAAGCCUUAAGCUUAUUAAUAGCGAAUGAGGAAAAGUCAGGAAAAACAGCGCAGAAAUGACAGCGGCAUGUCGGAAAGCGCAUUAAAGCGAGUAAAAAGGGCGGACUGCUUGAAAGGCAAGGCGCGAAAAAGUUAAAUGGAAAUGGAAAAUAAUUAGCAAACAACUGCAGUGAGGGGGGGGGG
ensembl:ncRNA lncRNA:CR44315 long non-coding RNA:CR44315